UGGGGAAUAUUGGACAAUGGGCGAAAGCCUGAUCCAGCCAUGCCGCGUGUGUGAAGAAGGUCUUCGGAUUGUAAAGCACUUUAAGUUGGGAGGAAGGGCAGAAAGCGAAUACCUUGCUGUUUGACGUUACCGACAGAAUAAGCACCGGCUAACUCUGUGCCAGCAGCCGCGGUAAUACAGAGGGUGCAAGCGUUAAUCGGAAUUACUGGGCGUAAAGCGCGCGUAGGUGGUUCGUUAAGUUGAAUGUGAAAGCCCCGGGCUCAACCUGGGAACUGCAUCCAAAACUGGCGAGCUAGAGUAGGGCAGAGGGUGGUGGAAUUUCCUGUGUAGCGGUGAAAUGCGUAGAUAUAGGAAGGAACACCAGUGGCGAAGGCGACCACCUGGGCUCAUACUGACACUGAGGUGCGAAAGCGUGGGGAGCAAACAGG
rnacentral:rRNA from 1 species